AUGUAUCUGAAUCGGGGUGAUCCCUCCUCUCCUCCCUCUCUCAGAUCACUCCUCUGGAGCGCGGACAGAAAGCGGACAGUCGCCCACAAUAACCGGCUCUAUAGCAGCCGCCUCUGGUUAUCUCAUCUCGGCGGAUCGCCCCCGGUGCCGACCUGUACCGGCUGUUCCUCUUCCUCCCCUCCCGCGGUAUCAUCUGAAUCACAAAAACACACACAAGAAAGAGAGAUAGAGAGAGAGAUGCGGUCGUGUUUCACUUUUUUUGCUUCCCCGGAUCUCUGUGUGUGGACGGCGGGCUGCGGCUGCCAGGAGCAGUAGAUGUGUUAAGCGACGCAGCUAUCUUUCCACAGUGACCACGGCCUGAUCCCUACAUUCAUGAGAAGGCAACAGGAAGCAGAUUACUGAGGGAUUAAACGCAUGCACACAUAUGCACAUGCACAUGCACACACAGAGAGUACCACGGUUGCAGGAUUUGACCGCUGUCCAAAUGUGGCUCUCACACUGAAUGAACUUGCCUGACUGACUGACUGAGACUCUCUGGUAUCAUGGAAGAAGAGGAGGAGCCGACAGAGUCUCAUUGAAUGUUACUCAUAUGACCCCACCUCCGUUCUCCUGCCUCACUAUCGAGGGCUUUGACUGCAGAGAGAGAGGGGAGUGUAGAGCCGACCACUUGCCUGCUGCUGUCCCAUGAUGCAUCUACACAUGUAAGAGCAGGAUCAUCCUCACAGAGGGCUGUUUCUAUGGAUACCCCUGCCCUGAGUAGUAUUAAUAAGACUCACUGAUAUUCUGACUAUUUGUGCGUGAAGAAAAAUACAGUGAGAGAUUAGAAGAACAUCCCUGCAGCACACUGCAGCAUUAAAUAAUAUCAUUGGAAGCAAAGAAAGAAAUCAAGUUUCAAGAGGAAAAACACUAAAGAAAAAUUUGUAAUGUAGAUGGAUUACCAACACAUGUUUAAACCUGGUUCAGGAAAAAGGGUGAUUUGAUAAAAAUCUGCCCUCAGAGAUACCAGAAGAGGAGGUGAAGAUGAUGCACAUAGACACUUCUGAGGCCUGAAGGAAGAAACACCUUUUCUAACCUGCUUAAACUGCAAUACUGAGCACAGCUUGAAACUCUGGGCCACAGUUCUGGAUAAAAUAAUCCGACUGGAACGUUUGUGGGCCCCUAAAACUGCCACCACCUCUCACCAGACUUGUUGUGGUACUUGUCUACAUGAUGAGAACAGACAUCUAACAUGCACCAGCUACCUAGAGAAAGAGGUAACAGGUCUCUAUUUAAGGUUCUGGACUCACCAGCAAGAUGUAACAUCAUGUGCAUAAGACAAUAACAAAGCACUUUUAAUCUACACAUUGUGGGGAUCCAUCAAGCUUCGGGUACCUGGAAUCUAUCUGUCAUCUGUUC
rnacentral:lncRNA from 15 species